rnacentral:lncRNA from 1 species
GAAGGAUCAGUUUCCUACCAGUUAUUGUUUGGUUCUAGAUCAACAGUAUCUGCUGGAUGAUUAUUUAUGAUGGAGAUUGUUGAUGUUCAGACUAAAAUACAUGUAUAUCAUAGUUCUAAGAUUCUUCGGUUGCGCAUAUGUAAACCCUGCUCCAGUGUAAUAGCCCACAAAGCUCACUAAAGAGGUAAACGGCACUAAGCAAGCCCUGUGUGACAAGCUCGACUGAGA